AACUUUCAGCACUGGAUCACUUGGCUCUCGCAUCGAUGAAGAACGCAGCGAAAUGCGAUACGUAAUGUGAAUUGCAGAAUUCAGUGAAUCAUCGAAUCUUUGAAAGCACCUUCAGCCCCUUGGUAUACAGAGGGGCACACCCGAUUGUAUGUCGUGAACAUCUCAACAUUCUCGGUUUCUUCUGGACACCGAAGGCGGCUUGGACUUUGGAGGCCUUUGCUUGCGCCUCUCGCCAGCUCCUCGCAAAUGAAUUAGUGGGGUCCUCUUUGCCGAUCCUCGACGUGUGAUAAGAUGUUUCCAUGUCUUGGUUUAUGGCUCUGUUGCUUUUGGGACCCGCUUCUAACCGUCUCAACGAGACAACGUUCGAGCGUGUUGAACACUCUUGAACCCACGAACCCUUGACCUCAAAUCGGGUGAGACUACCCGCUGAACUUAAGCAUAUCAAUAAGCGGAGGGU
rnacentral:misc_RNA from 1 species